UACGGGGGGGGCAAGCGUUGUCCGGAAUCAUUGGGCGUAAAGCGCGUGUAGGCGGCCCGGUAAGUCCGCUGUGAAAGUCCAGGGCUCAACCCUGGGAUGCCGGUGGAUACUGUCGGGCUCGAGUCCGGAAGAGGAGUGUGGAAUUCCUGGUGUAGCGGUGAAAUGCGCAGAUAUCAGGAGGAACACCAAUGGCGAAGGCAGCACUCUGGGACGUGACUGACGCUGAGACGCGAAAGCGUGGGGAGCAAACAGG
rnacentral:rRNA from 1 species